rnacentral:lncRNA from 1 species
CCGGGACACCAGGGGUUGAAGAGCAGCACCACGUCGUUGUCGGCCUCGAAGGGCGCGGCGAAUUCCCCGCUCUCCGUCCUCGUCCUGCCGCUCAGCCGGUACCGGCCAAUGGGAGCCGUGGGCGGGGCCCGGAGCCCCACCCACAACACCUCACUUCCGGCCACGCCCACCAGCGGCUCGGCCACGCCCUCGUCAAGCUCCGCCUCCCAGCCCGAGGGGGAGGAGCCUCCGAGCGGGACCAGGACGUGAGUGCCCUUGGAGACCUGGGGGGUGGGGCCUGGGGAAGCCAAAAAUUCACCCAAAAUUUCCCCAAAAUUCACCCAAAAUUUUCCCCAAAAUUCACCCAAAAUUUCCCCCAAAAUUCACCCAAAAUUUCCCCCCAAAAAUUCCAAAAAUUUCUCCAAAUUUUCACAAAAUUUUCACAAAAUUUCCCCAAAAUUUCCCCAAAUUUCCCCCAAAUUUUCCCAGAAUUUUCCCAUAAUUCACCAAAAUUUCCCCAAAUUUCCAAAAAAAUCCCCAAAUUCACACCAAAUUUACAAAAUUUCACAAAAUUUUCUGAAAUUCCCCCAAAAUUUCCCAAAAUUCCCCAAAAUUGUGAAUUUUGGAGCGCCAAUCCCGGCCCGUGAGAGCCCUUGGAGACCUGGGGGGUGGGGCCUGGGGAAGCCAAAAAUUUUCACAAAAUUCCCCAAAAUUCACCCAAAAUUUUCCCCAAAAUUCACCCAAAAUUUCCCCAAAAUUCACCCAAAAUUUCCCCAAAAUUCACCCAAAAUUUCCCCAAAAUUCACCCAAAAUUUCCCCAAAAUUCACCCAAAAUUUCCCCCCCAAAAAAUCCCGAAAUUUUCACAAAAUUUCCCCCAAAAAUUUUCCCAAAAUUUUCCCAAAAUUUCCCCCAAAAUUCACCCAAAAUUUCCCCCCAAAAAAACCCAAAAAUUUUCACAAAAUUCUCCCAAAAUUCACCCAAAAUUUUCCCCAAAAUUCACCCAAAAUUUCCCCCCAAAAAAACCCAAAAAUUUUCACAAAAUUCUCCCAAAAUUCUCCCAAAAUUCUCCCAAAAUUCACCCAAAAUUCACCCAAAAUUUCCCCAAAAUUCACCCAAAAUUCACCCAAAAUUUCCCCAAAAUUCACCCAAAAUUUCCCCCCCAAAAAAUCCCGAAAUUUUCACAAAAUUCCCCAAAAUUCACCCAAAAUUUCCCUCCCAAAAAAUCCCGAAAUUUUCACAAAAUUCCCCAAAAUUCACCCAAAAUUUCCCCCCCAAAAAAUCCCGAAAUUUUCACAAAAUUCUCCCAAAAUUCACCCAAAAUUUCCCCAAAAUUCACCCAAAAUUUUCCCAGAAUUUUCCCAAAAAUUCCCAAAAAAAUUCCCAAAAAUCCCAAAAUUUACCCAGAAUUUU